GCCAUCUUAGCUCAGCGGUAGAGCAGCUGUUUUGUAAACAGCAGGUCCAGGGUUCGAAUCCCUGAGAUGGCUCAA
rnacentral:tRNA from 1 species